ACCAGCAGCCAUAUCACCCUGCAACUCACAACUGGUAACCUACUGAAGCUAAGUGGAUGUGAGCCUGGUCAGUACCUGGAUGGGAGACCUUCUGGGAAAAACUAAGGUUGCUGCUGGAA
rnacentral:rRNA from 1 species